GUAUGUAGCUGCCUGGUACCCCAGCCUCUCCUUUUUCUUCCUCAUAUUUCACUCAGGUUUGGUGUCUCCUCUUUUCACAGGAAAGUAAAUAUCUCUUCAGCGUUUCGGGGCUGCUGCUGCUGGCUUCAUACAGACCCAUUGAACGGUGGUGCUCACAGUUGCUGCCUGACUGUCCAGACUGAUCAGAUCUCUUCAUUGUGUGCACUCAGGUGUCAGCCAGUGCCAUACUGACUGGUGUAUGGUUUGGUGUGGAGAUUACUGAUGAAGAAUUUGUGCUGCUACUUGACAGAAUCCCCCUUGAUGAAGAUGGAAAUGUCAGAUACCACCAGUUCAUGGCCAGGUUUGAUUCCUGGUUACUUCACCACCAUGUUUUUAAUAGACCAUUUCAGGCAUAAAGAGCAGCACAAUGUGAUUGAUAUUUGAGAGAAGCUCAGAGAGACCAGGUUUCUUAGAAAACAGCAUGGAA